CUAAUCCUUCUAUCAUAUUCAUGGAUGAGCCAACUUCUGGGCUAGAUGCAAGAGUUGCUGCUGUUGUUAUGAGGGCUAUCGGGAAAAUAGUGGACACUGGAAGAACAGUUGUCUGCACCAUCCAUCAGCCAAGCAUUGAUAUAUUUGAAUCUUUUGAUGAGGUAAAUAUGCAGAGUAAAAAAUUGUGACAUCUUUAUUCUCUUCUACUAACAAGUUUCUAAUUUUUAUUGUCAACUAAAUGCAACUUUUUCUAAUGAAAUGAGGAGGACAAGAGAUAUAUGUGGGGCCACUUCGACAUCAUUCUUAUCAUUUAAUCAGUUACUUUGAGGUAUUUAUACCAAAUCAGAAAUAGAUGUACACCACACAAGAAGCUAGAGAAAUUUCACUAACUCAGGUUCCGCAUUUUAACAACAACAUUGUUCUUAAAUGCAAAGAGUUUUUGACUAAUCAAUUAUGGCCUAUGAGAUAACUGAGAUAAAGAGUAAGUAAUAAGCAUAGCAAUGCCACUAUGUGCUUAGAUUGACUAAAUCCAACUUCCGAGAGCCAAUAAAUAUUGGAAGUGAUGAGAUGGUUAGCAUGAAUGAGAUGGCUGAGAUUAUUAUUGGCUUUGAGAACAAGAAUAUUCCUAUUCACCACAUUCCUGGCCUUGAGGGUGUUCGAGGUCGUAAUUUAGACAAUACAAUGAUAAAAGAAAAACUUGGUUGGGCUCCAACUAUGAGGUUGAAGGAUGGGUUGAGAAUCACAUACUUCUGGAUUAAGAAGUAGAUCGAGAAGGAGAAGGCUCAAGGUAUUGAUAUAUCUGUGUAUGGGUCUAAAUUAUUUGUUAAGGUGGUUUUUUAAGGUACUUCGUGGUGCUUAAGGUGGUUUACUGCACUAGAAGCUCUAAAUUAUUUGUUUUGAAUUUUGAUGUCUAAAUAAUUGAUUAAUAAGAAAAUAAUUUUUUAUUCCUUAUGAA